GGGCUGUAGCUCAAUGGUAGAGCACUUGCCUUGCAGGUACGAGGCCCUGGGUUCGAUCCUCAGCACCCA
rnacentral:tRNA from 1 species